AGGUUUCAUCACUCCGUGGUUAUGUGUCUUCAGAUGACCAGGCGAGCACGGUCGGACUCAGAUCCUGGGAAGGGGAAGAAGACCUGGAGGAGCAAAGCCUCUAUAAACUAUCCCAGGAGAGAGUAAGAAGCUGGCUUCUGGGGAGCGACUUCAGGCUCACUGAAGACGACCCCCAAGGCCAGUAGGUUUGUGUACGCCCGUCUGACCCCAGCCAUGUAAGUAAUCAUUGAUCAAAAUGUCACUUUGCCACAUGACUGUUCUUAAUAACAGCUGCUUAAGUUAUUAAAAUGAAAAGGAUAACUGAUACACAUUUGAGUCUUGGAUACUAUGUGGUCACUUCUCUAUGUUGCCUCCUUGAAGCAUCACUUUGAGGCAUUAUUAAUUUGGUUCUAUUCAUUAUACAGAUGAGGAAUGUGAGUCUCAGGUAAGUAAAUUAUUCACGAGACACACCCACAGCUGGAUCUCUCUAACACCAAAGGCUAAUCUAUAAACUAACGUGCUGCACUGCCUGUCGUGGCGAAGUAGACUUGCCGUGUCAAACAGAAUCACCCAGUCCUCAGUUGUACCAUUCAGUAAGCAUCAGCACGCCAUGAAGUGUGCUCCCUGCUGUGUUGCGGGGACAAAACAUCUAUCCCAGGCCUCUGUGGCCGCCCGUUCUGUCCUGUCCAAUGAAGCUCUGUUCUGUUCCAUUGGUCUACGUCUCUGUUUCGGUACCAGUACCAUGCUGUUCUGAUUACUGUAGCAGUUGACUACGUUUCUGAUCAGGUUUUCAGUAUUCAUUGAGAGAAACAGAACGUUGUGCAAACAAUCCACAGCACGACGUGCCCUCAUAAAGCUUUGUUUCUGCGUUGCAGGUAGUGCCGGUGUUCCCUCUGAAGUGUGACUCUGGUAAGUAUUCUGGUAUCAUUGUCAAGAAAAAAGAAAAGCUGGUUUCAAUGUGAAGUGCCACCCUGAUUCUGGGAUUGUGUUAGGAGUAAGCAUAGUGAAAGGGUUUUGUGAAAACCUGAAUUCCCCAGGGAAAAAUCAUGGCCACAUUUUGAGGCCGCAGCUGUGCUCCCUUUUGG